rnacentral:piRNA from 1 species
UAAGCAAAUGUGUGCUCAGACACCGAAAC